GCAUUGGUAGUUCGGUGGUAGGAUUCUCACCUUCUAUGCAGGAGACCCAGGUUUGGUUCCUGGCCAGUGCG
rfam:Loxodonta africana unplaced genomic scaffold scaffold_16, whole genome shotgun sequence.